GACGAACGCUGGCGGCGUGCCUAAUACAUGCAAGUCGAACGAGAGCACCCGGUGCUUGCACUGGUCAAUCUAGUGGCGAACGGGUGAGUAACACGUGGGUAACCUGCCCAUCAGAGGGGGAUAACAUCCGGAAACGGAUGCUAAAACCGCAUAGGUCUUCGAACCGCAUGGUUUGAAGAGGAAAAGAGGCGCACGCUUCUGCUGAUGGAUGGACCCGCGGUGCAUUAGCUGGUUGGUGAGGUAACGGCUCACCAAGGCCGUGAUGCAUAGCCGACCUGAGAGGGUGAUCGGCCACAUUGGGACUGAGACACGGCCCAAACUCCUACGGGAGGCAGCAGUAGGGAAUCUUCCGCAAUGGACGCAAGUCUGACGGAGCAACGCCGCGUGAGUGAAGAAGGUUUUCGGAUCGUAAAACUCUGUUGUUAGAGAAGAACAAGUGCUAGAGUAACUGUUAGCGCCUUGACGGUAUCUAACCAGAAAGCCACGGCUAACUACGUG
rnacentral:rRNA from 1 species